GAUGAAGAACGCAGCGAAAUGCGAUAAGUAAUGUGAAUUGCAGAAUUCAGUGAAUCAUCGAAUCUUUGAACGCACAUUGCGCCCGCCAGUAUUCUGGCGAGCAUGCCUGUUCGAGCGUCAUUUCAACCAUCAAGCCCCAGGCUUGUGUUGGAGCCCUGCGGCUGCCGCAGGCCCCUAAAAGCAGUGGCGGGCUCGCUAUCACACCGAGUGCAGUAGAUUACUCUUCGCUCAGGGCGUGUGGCGGGUUCCAGCCGUGAAACCCCCUACUUCUCAAGGUUGACCUCGGAUCAGGUAGGAAUACCCGCUGAACUUAAGCAUAUCAAUAAGCGGAGGA
rnacentral:misc_RNA from 1 species